UUUAGACUUAGUUUGAGUUAUUUAUGAUUAUUAGAAAGUAAUUUUAUUGCUUAAAAUAUUGAUUUAUACUUGUGCUAUACUUAGUUCCAUACACAUUUCCUAAGUUACUUCAUGUAAUACAUGUAAUUUCCUUUUCAUAGGUGAAGAAGGUAGAUCUUGGAACUAGGCUUUGAUCACAGAGCAGAGCCUUUUGGACAAGUAUGUCUAUGCAUGGAAAAAAUAUGAAUAGUAGACUCACCUCAAAUGAAUUCCCAGGGAUGCUUCAAAUCUCCAUGAGAGAAUAGAAAUAAUGAUGUAGAAGAAUAUAGAACAAAGUCAUAUGGCUGUUCUAGAGAGAGAAGAGUUACUUUGAAGUGACUAAGAAAGCUAUCAUAAAGAAGAUGCCCUUUGGAUUGGCCCCUGAAUGACUGGAGAAGGAGAUUUGCAGUUGAAAAACGAGCUUAGGUGCAGAAGGAAGAAG
rnacentral:lncRNA from 1 species